rnacentral:snRNA from 1 species
AUGCUCCCAUUUACACCACAUAUGCUAUAUUUGCAGCAACACAGAGAAGAUUAGCAAUAGCCCCUGUACAAGAACAACACUCAUGCUUUCAAGCAUUCCUUAGCUCAU